rnacentral:rRNA from 1 species
ACUCAAAGGAAUUGACGGGGGCCCGCACAAGCGGCGGAGCAUGUUGCUUAAUUCGACGCAACGCGAAGAACCUUACCAAGGUUUGACAUCACCCGGAAAGCUGCAGAGAUGUGGCCCUCUUCGGACUGGGUGACAGGUGGUGCAUGGCUGUCGUCAGCUCGUGUCGUGAGAUGUUGGGUUAAGUCCCGCAACGAGCGCAACCCUUGCUCCAUGUUGCCAGCACGCCCUUCGGGGUGGUGGGGACUCAUGGGGGACUGCCGGGGUCAACUCGGAGGAAGGUGGGGAUGACGUCAAGUCAUCAUGCCCCUUAUGUCUUGGGCUGCAAACAUGCUACAAUGGCCGGUACAGAGGGUUGCGAUACCGUGAGGUGGAGCGAAUCCCUAAAAGCCGGUCUCAGUUCGGAUUGGGGUCUGCAACUCGACCCCAUGAAGUCGGAGUCGCUAGUAAUCGCAGAUCAGCAAUGCUGCGGUGAAUACGUUCCCGGGCCUUGCACACACCGCCCGU